AUUGAACGCUGGCGGCAUGCUUUACACAUGCAAGUCGAACGGUAACAGGGAGCUUGCUCCGCUGACGAGUGGCGAACGGGUGAGUAAUGCGUCGGAACGUGCCGAGUAGUGGGGGAUAACGCAGCGAAAGUUGUGCUAAUACCGCAUACGUACUGAGGUAGAAAGUGGGGGACCUUCGGGCCUCACGCUAUUCGAGCGGCCGACGUCUGAUUAGCUAGUAGGUGAGGUAAAGGCUCACCUAGGCGACGAUCAGUAGCGGGUCUGAGAGGAUGAUCCGCCACACCGGGACUGGGACACGGCCCAGACUCCUACGGGAGGCAGCAGUGGGGAAUUUUGGACAAUGGGCGAAAGCCUGAUCCAGCCAUGCCGCGUGUCUGAAGAAGGCCUUCGGGUUGUAAAGGACUUUUGUCGGGGAGGAAAUCCCCAGCGCUAAUACCGCUGGGGGAUGACAGUACCUGGAGAAUAAGCACCGGCUAACUACGUGCCAGCCGCCGCCGUAAUAC
rnacentral:rRNA from 1 species